GGCGCCCGGGUGCGUGACACGUCGGUGACCUACCCCGCUGUGGGGAAUACCCUGCCGAAAGGUGGGCUAAUACCGCAUGCGAUCCCCGGUCGAACGGGGAUGAAAGCUCGCAAGGGCGCUGUGGGAGGGGCCGGCGGCCUAUCAGCUUGUUGGUGGGGUAAUGGCCUACCAAGGCGACGACGGGGAGCCGAUCUGAGAGGAUGACCGGCCACAGUGGGACUGAGAUAUGGUCCACGGCCCUACGGGGUUUAGCAUGGAGGAAUCUUGCGCAACAUCCGAAAGGAUGGCGCAGCAACGCCGCGUGAGGGACGAAGCCGUUUGCGGUGUAAACCUCUGUUGCUCGGGAAGAAGUACCGCGGGGGAGAGCCUCACGGGAAGACGGUACCGGGCGAGGAAGCCCCGGCUAACUACGUGCCAGCAGCCGCGGUAAUACGUAGGGGGCGAGCGUUAUCCGGAUUUAUUGGGCGUAAAGCGCACGCAGGCGGGAUGCAACCGUGGUGUGUGGAAUCUCCCGGCUCACCCGGGAGGGGUCAUGCCAUACGGGCAUUCUUGAGGCAAACAGUGGGUCGCGGAACGGGCAGAGUAGGGGUGAAAUCCGCAGAUACUGUCCGGAACACCAGAGGCGAAGGCGGCGACCUAGGUUUGAGAAGCGGUCGCGAGACCGUCCUGACGCUCAGGUGCGAAAGCGUGGGUAGCGAACGGAAUU
rnacentral:rRNA from 2 species